UACGUAGGGUGCGAGCGUUGUCCGGAAUUAUUGGGCGUAAAGAGCUUGUAGGCGGUUUGUCGCGUCUGCUGUGAAAAUCCGGGGCUCAACCCCGGACUUGCAGUGGGUACGGGCAGACUAGAGUGUGGUAGGGGAGACUGGAAUUCCUGGUGUAGCGGUGAAAUGCGCAGAUAUCAGGAGGAACACCGAUGGCGAAGGCAGGUCUCUGGGCCACUACUGACGCUGAGAGGCGAAAGCAUGGGGAGCGAACAGG
rnacentral:rRNA from 1 species